GACAGAGGGUGCAAACGUUGUUCGGAUUUACUGGGCGUAAAGCGCGUGUAGGCGGCUUUGCAAGUCGGAUGUGAAAGCCCACGGCUCAACCGUGGAAGUGCAUCCGAAACUGCAUGGCUUGAGUCUCGGAGAGGAAGGUGGAAUGCUUGGUGUAGAGGUGAAAUUCGUAGAUAUCAGGCAGAACACCUGCGGCGAAGGCGGCCUUCUGGACGAUGACUGACGCUGAGACGCGAAAGCGUGGGGAGCAAACAGG
rnacentral:rRNA from 1 species